UCCGCUGGCCAUUACAAUUUAAUACCCAUCCAAAUGUAUGCUAUAUUGUCAAUAGGAAAAAAUGAAAUAACAGUGGUUAAUAGCAUACAACUAGCAUCCGAAUCGGAUGAGUCGUUUUGCUAUUACAUUGUGAAACAAAAUCCAUAUUAGAAUUAAAGAACAAAACAAAAUACAAUAAAAACUGUCCAUCGCACUUGCAUCUGAAUCGGAUGCCUUUGUAUUGUUUUGUAACUUUUUUGUUUAUUGUUGCAGCUGCUGUUGUACCGUUAUUCAUUUUUGAUGCUUCUUUCUUUUUUGAAGCAAAAUUUUAUUCUGUGAAGUGUUUUUGAAAGUGCAAGUUGUGAAUUUUGAACAAAAGUUAAUAAAAUAAAUUAAUAAAAUAAGAAUGUAGUAAGUGUUGUGUGUUAAAUAAGUUAAAUAAAAUGUCAGGAUUCAGUAGGAGUAAUUUAAGACGACUAAAGAAAGUGGAAGCAGACAAUUUAACAAGAAAUCCACAGUUGAGGACGGACUGUUUGGAAAACAAUGAUAUUCUACAAAAUGAGCAGAUUCCAUGCAUUCCAAAAUUGUAGAAGAUUUUGGAAAAUAUGUAAGAAUGUUGAAAACUCUCCGUUAUAAUCCAUUAAUAAUUUAAAUUCUUUCAGCUAUGAUGGUACCCAAAAUAAAAAGGCGUUUAAGGAAUAUAAAUUUUAAUCAUGGCCAUUUUCGAAGCUGUCAUAUGUGAAGGAUCCAAUGAACAGGAUUAAAAAUUGUUUCAAAUUCCCUAAGGCCAGACACUUCCGAACAAUGUCCUACAAUAAAAAACUGGAAAAAUAUAUUUUUUUUCCUUUAGUUUAAGCUUUAUUUCUUCCCACGUCUUUUGAAUAAGUUUUAUGAAUUUCGUUUUUAUGCAUUAUUUCUAAUUAUAAUAAGAAUAUUUUAUUGUUGAAAACACGUUUAUAAUACGAAUAUUUUAAUAAAAGACAGCUGAAAUUUAAGUUCCACAAUCUAAAAUGUUGAUGGAAUCGGAUCCAUCCAACCUUCGCUUACAAUGUUGAUAGAUUUCGGACCCAUCCAACAUUCGCUUACGUUGUCGGUCGAUUUCGGACCCAUCCAACAUUCG